CAGUCUCUGUUAGCCUAGGUAAACCUCCAUGCUUGACUUGUAAAAAUCCGGGAGCAGGAUUAGUGACGGGAUCAACAAGAUCAACAGAGGAGUGUUCUACACGCACCCAUAUGGGGUCAGCGCACCCAUAGCUCUGCCAGUCUAGCCUGUUGUAAGAUGAGCACGUGAGCUGACUUACCCAUCAGCCGGAGAGCAGAUAAUGUGGCCAGAAUUGCAGCUCGGUUCGAUACACCUGACUACCCUGACAAUGACCUUGUAGAUGACCAGGACCACAGCCAGUGUAAUGUGGUUCAACCCAGACCUGACAGCCCGAACUCAUACAGCUCAGUUGGGUCAAGGAGAAGUGAAGCCAGACUGUUUGACAUGGUCAGACGUCAAGAGGAGGCUGCUCUGGAGAGAGAGCGCUGCCAGGAUGAAGCAACUCUGGAGAGGGAGCGCAUACAAGCACAAAUUAUGGCCCAGCAGGCUGAAAUUGCACGGGAAAGGGAACGGAUACAGGCUCAAGUUGCAUUGCAGCAGACACAGGCCAUGAUCCAAGCAAUGAAGGAGCUAACAAAGCAGAGUGAAAACACCAUGAAGCAGUCUAUGCAGUUUAGUGGUGAAGUCAUUCAGAGCCUCACGCAACGGUCUUCAGCCUGACCCUCGAGGAGGACUUCACAGAGGCCUUGAAGGGAACAUUCUCCAGAUCAUCAGGGUGAAGCAGAGUACAAUAGAGCGAGGCAUGCACUGGACCAGAUUCAGGAGGAACCAGACGGAAACGGACUGCUGAGCCGCCGCCUAGAGGGACUGGCAGUCGAGCAGCAGAAGUGGACAGUGCCCCCACUCUCAGGCCAUAACCUCAACUUCUCAGACUCGGCCCCUGGCCCCAUCAACUUUACAGUCCCUCAGAGAGAGCAGCAGCCCCCAAACCCAGCACCCUCCUCAGUGGUCCACCAGUGGUCAGGACCUACAAAGGCUGACAUCAUGACACCCCCACCUAAGAACAGCCAAGCUCCAGUGAUCCCCACUUCGCCUAACCACCAGCCUGCUCUCUGGUAUGUUGCCCUGCCCACUUUCCCCAACUUCGAGGUAGAAAAUAGAGCCCAGUACCUGGAACUGCGUAUGUGCCUAGAAACCCUCCUCGCUGACACCUAUGAUGAGAGAUACAAAUACACGAUCCUGCUACAACACGUCAAAGUCCCCAGAGCCCACAUGAUUAUUUCAGCAUUCGGCUGGUCUGACAAACCCUACUCAGAAUCCAUCGCAGCCCUGGAUGACCACUACGGCCGCCCUUGGGACUUCAUCCUCACAGAGAUCUCCAUCAUUGAGAAAUUACCCCCAAUCCAUGACAACCAAGCACUUGGAGGACCUGUUUGUAAAGGUGCAAAACCUUGUGAGGAUGCUGAGGUGCCAGGGUGAGGAGGGAUUCUGUGAGCUCAACAGCAGCUCAAGCGUAAAACGCAUCCUGGAGAAGCUCCCUCCAUUCAGACAGGAGAGGUUCCGACGCCUGCAGAAUCGACCCCACCCUAGCAAACCAGGAUCCUCCCUGAUCAAUCUUGCAACAUUUCUAAAGGAUGAGGUCCGCAGUCUCAGCCUGGAUGUGCUCAUCCCAGGUCCGUCCCUAAGAGAAAAGAGGGACAGCAAAGCAAAGGGUCAAUGGAGAACUGCUACUGUAAUGCACACAGUCAGAGAACCAGAACGGGAACAGUCACACGCCACCAGCAAGGGAGGCGUCUCAAAACAGACUAAAGACAAGAAGAGUCCACAUUGUCUCUACUGCGACAAAGAACACUGGCUCUCAAGCUGCGAGGCGUUCAAAAGACUGAGCACCGAAGAAGCAAGAGACUGGAUCCAGAAAGAUCAAAGGUGUUGGAGGUGUGCUCGUAAGGGUCACAGAGCUUCAGAGUGCACCCUGAAAAGGAAAUGUGGUCGUUGUUCUGCUGUGCACUGGGACGUCCUGCAUGAUGUCAACCAACGGAACAAGGAGAGGGUCGUUGACACUGAGUCCAAGAUUAUGUAUGUGUGGCAGAAUGAAUGGGGGGGAUAAACAGAACUCAACCAAAAGACAACGCCACCUGGGGACUUGCACCCCAGGAUCUCAAAUGCUAAAUAAAAUAAAAAAAACAAGGGCCCGCAGGUUCAAAGGAUUCACUGGGAUGGGAGACGUGAGUUCAAAUCAAAACAAACUUUAUUAAAUUCCAAUAUUAAAAUGAGCAGACUAACUCGAAAUAAAUGGGGUUUGAGGCCUGCCAAACAAAACCGAACUGGACAGGGCUGGGGCUUACCACGACAGCGGUAACAGAAAGUGGGGAGGAUCCAAAACCACACAGCACCCGUGACACAGCAAACAAAAAGUGAAAAAGGGACCACCACCAGGGAACCGCUGCCGCUUCAGGGCCUCCAGCACCUGCCAAAAGAAAAGAAAAUCAACAAUUAAUCUCACAAAAUGAUGGCAGCCCUCAUACCCCAAAAACAAAAAUCUAAUACCUAAACAAUAUUCAAAGGAAAAGGAGAACAAAUUAAUUUAUACGAAAUAAAAAAAACCCCAAAUCAUUCCAAAAUAACAAAACCAAAGGAAUUGGAUAGAAAACAAACCAACGUAAUCACUAAUCAACGCAAUCGAACAGAAGAAGGAAAAAAAGAAGAAAAUCAAAAGGAAGAGUGCGUCUGCAUUUCUAAAAAUGCCCGAGCACGGCGCAUGCCCAAGCUCCUUGGCUCGAUGCAGGAGAGCCACACUUCUUAAUGAGCCUGGGUGGUCCAUCGGGCCCCUAGGGCAGGAGGGUGUACUGAGGAGGCCGUGGUGCGACGAGCAGGUGUCAAGCACAUCCAGAGAAGGAGAGCCAAAACAGCAGUAAAGCCCGGGGUUAACUGCAGCUGAUGACUGCACCACUGUAAAACAAACCAUGAAAUCACACCAAAAUAAUGAAAUUAAUCUAAACAAUAAAUCACUGUUCCCUACUGAGGAUGGAUUGGCACACCUGGCAGCAUGAAGGAGAGCACACACAGCCCAAUACAGCAGCGCUGGCGGCUGCAGGAAACACACCGCUCCCACACAGACUCCAGGGCAGUCCAGCUCCCAGUCAAUUCACAGCUGUGAAACGCAGGGCUGGGGUAAAUACACUGCUGAGGCUGCUAAGUGGACUAAAGAGAAACAGGACAUGCGUACCUUUGUGGAAGGCCAAGCACUAUCCUGAACAGACACACUGUCAGGACAGCAGCCACAUGUCUGUCAGUCCCAUGAAGGAGGAAGAGGAAGAGGAAGAGGAAGGGCGGAGCAGGGAUAUUUAUAGACGCCCAGUAAUUAGAAGCCACACUGCCUCAAGUGGAGGGGAGUGCAACCCCCCACCAUGCCACAUAUGGAUCCGGCUAAGAGUGGGAGCUCGAAGGUUAUGUUGAAGAUAGUGCAACUCCACCUACACUACCAAGAACGGAUGUUGGACACCUAUGCUGUUUUGGGUGAUGGUUCAGAGAAAACCCUGCUCCUCCAUUCAGCAGCCAUUCAGCUGGGUGUCCGGGGACCAAGAGAAGUGCUAACCAUCCGGACGAUUCGUUGAGACGUCAAAGAGAUCAGUGGUGAGCAGGUCGCCCUCAUCAUCUCACCAGCUGGUCAACCAGACAGACAGUACACCAUCAGCAACAUAUUCACUCGUCAGCAGAUUGCACUCUCUCAGUAUGACUACCCCAUCUCACAGCUCAAAGAGAAGCACCAGCACCUUCGCAACCUGCCCAUACCACCGAUCAGUGGAGCAACACCAACGAUCCUGAUUGGCUCAGACCACAUUGACCUCAUCACUGCAGUAGAUACCGUCUACCUGGGACCCAGAGGAUGUCCUGCCGCCAUCAAAACCAGACUGGGGUGGACCCUACAAGGUCCAUUUCACAUCUCCAACCAGAGACCUGCCCUGACCCAGUGCCUCUACAGUAAAGCAACUUCAGCAGACACUGCCCUCCUCAGUCAUGUGGGGCGGCUCUGGCAGUUAGACAUCCUGUCAUUCAAGAACGAGAAGGAUAUGGUGCGAUCGAAGGAGGAUAAGUAUGCUGUGGCUCUCCUUGAGAAGAAGACCGUCAGAGUAAACAUCGAGGGAGUGCAGAGGUACGCCACCCCACUCCUGAAAAGAGAGGACAUGCCUACCUUGCAUGUCCCAAAGGAGGUGGUCAGCAACUACCUCAAGAGCACAGAGAGAAGGCUGGCCAGAGAUCCUCACCAAGCUGAGAUCUACAGAGAGGAGAUGAACAAGUUGGUGGUCGCUGGUUAUGUCAAGAAACUCAACAGCAGGGCUGAAAUCACAAAGGAGGCCUGGUACCUGCCACACCACAAAGUUAGCCACAAUGGAAAGAACUGGCUGGUCUUCAACUGCAGUUUCCAGGUUGGCAAUCAGUGCCUCAACACAUGUCUGCUCCCAGGUCCCACCCUAGGACCAUCCCUUCUUGAAGUUCUCCUGCGAUUUCGCCAGGAACGCGUGGCCAUCAGCGGGGACAUAAAUGGGAUGUUCCACCAACUUGUGGAGGAGGACAAGCCCCUAUUGAGGUUCCUGUGGAGAGAUGACCCUACUGACGAACACCCAUCAACCUACCAGUGGGAGGUGCUACCUUUCGGGACGAUGUGUAGCCCAUGCUGCACGACGUUCGUGCUACAGCGUCAUGUCCUGGAAGACCCUGAGUCAACAGAGGAGGCUCGUCACAGUGUGGAAAGGAGCUUCUACGUAGACAACUGUCUACAAAGUGUCGCCACAGAAGGAAAAGCCAAGAAGCUGGUCAUGGGGCUGAGAACCCUACUGGCCAAGGGGAGUUUCGACUUACGCCAGUGGGCGAGUAGCAAUCCUGCCGUCCUUCGUCAGCUCCCACCUGAUGCCAAGGCACCAAGCAGCGAGACCUGGGUGGUGCAGGGCCCCGGGGAGGCGCAUGAGAUGACCCUGGGCCUCAUUUGGCGCUUCAAGUCAGACACUCUGCACUAUCGGAGCACCCCCACAGAGACACAACCGAUCACCAGAAGAAGCAUCUAUCGCACGCUCGCCAGUCAGUAUGAUCAGUUAGGGUACAUCCUGGCCUUCAUCACCAGAGCCAAGGUCUUGGUGCGGGAACUGUGGAUACAUUGUCCCUGGUGAUCUUGCCCGGAAGUGGAGAGAAUGGGAGGAGGAGCUUCCGAUGCUUCACAAGAGCACCCUCCCCAGGAGUUACUUCACUUCAACCAUCAACAUGGACAAUAGCAAGAUCGAUCUGCAUGUGUUCAGUGAUGCAUCCGAGACUGCCUACGGGUCAGUAGUGUACCUCCGAAUGACUGAUGGAGCUGGCAAAGUUCACGUAGCCUUCGUCUUGGCACGUUCCAGAGUUGCCCCCUGGAAAGAACAGUCGAUCCCCCGGCUAGAGCUCUGCGCAGCACUCGUCGGAGCUCAGCUGGCCAAGAUGGUCCGGGAGGAACUCACCCUGCCACUACGUGAGACCGUGAUGUGGUCAGACUCGACGACAGUGAUCACUUGGCCCUAGUCCCAGUCCUGCAGAUACAAGGUCUUUGUAGGAACACGGAUUUCAGAAAUCCAAGACUUGGUGGGGGUGAAGUGCUGGAGAUACGUCGACACAGGACGGAACCCGGCAGAUGUCAUUCCGAGAGGAGCAACCCUCUCUACCCUGUCGCAAACAAACCUCUACAGCAAUGGUCCAGACUUCCUCCUGCAGUCUGAAGAGGAAUGGCCGAGCCAGCCGGUUGUGACGGAGGUGCAAGAUGAACCAGAGUUGAAGCAAACCCCUUUCUGUGGACUAAGUCAGGCCCCAGUCUUUGAGGGUCCGGACUUGGAGGACUGCCCCUCAUUGGAGGACCUGGAGAGGAAGACAUUUUUCUGGCAUCAUAAAGACCUCCCCAACACUACAAAGCUCAGUGCUGCUGACUAUGCUGAAACAGAGCUGCUCGUGUUGCAGAGAGCACAGUUGGACUCUUUCCCUGAGGAUCUUGAAUGUCUGCAGAAGAGGAAGCCUAUCCCGUCCAACAGCAGACUUCUGACGCUCGCUCCAGAACUUGACUCUCAGGGCCUGAUCAGAGUGGGGGGUAGAUUGCGUCGUGCAAGUGACCUGCCUGAUGAUGUGAAGCACCCCAUCGUCCUAGGAGCCAAACACAGAGUCACUGAGCUGAUAAUCCAGAAGUACAACAGAGCAGUGUUCCACGCAGGAUCAGAGAGGGUCUUUGCAGAGAUAUGGUGAAGAUAUUGGAUUCUUCAGGGAAGAGAUUUCAGAGAACCUGCGCUGACUGCCAGAAAUGGAGCGCCCAACCUACGAUACCUCAGAUGGCAGAUCUACCACCCUGUCGCCUCAAAGUAGGAGAGAAGGCAUUCCACUCUACAGGAGUAGACUGCUUCGGGCCAUUCUCGGUGAAGAGAGGAAGAGGCACCGAGAAACGAUGGGGGAUAGUCUACAAAUAUAUGACGACCAGGGCGAUGCACCUCGAGGUGUUGCACAGCAUGACCACCGACUCAUUUCUGAUGUCGUUUCGACGUUUCCAGUCCAGAAGAGGGACGCCACACACCCUCCUGUCAGAUCAAGGGACGAAUUUUCGGGGAGGAGAGGCAUAGCUGAGAGAGAGUUUCGGGACCAUGGCAGAAGAACUGAAGCACCAGCUAGCCUCGAGUCAAGUCUACUUUCAGUUUAACCCGCCAAACGCCCCACACUUCGGAGGGACAUGGGAGACGGAGUUGAGGUCCAUCAAGAUGGUGCUGUACACUAUCCUGGGUGCACAGACUGUAAGCGACGAGGUCUUCGCCACAGUACUUACCAAAGGUCGAAGGAGUACUCAACUCAAAGCCCCUGAGCUUUGUGUCCGCUGAUGUCGCCGACGUUGACCCCGUGAUGCCGAAUUAUCUCCUCAUGGGGCGGCUUGACCCCACCCUCCCUCAGACUGUCUACCACCCUUCAGAGAUUCAGGGCCGGAGGAUGUGGAGAUACAGCCAGGUGUUGGCAGAUGAAUUCUGGUCUCACUUCCUACUACACUACUUGCCCUCUCUGCAGGCAAGACAGAAGUUGACUAAGGACAGAGAAGGUCUAGUCACAGGAACAUUGGUGAUGAUAGUCGACCAGUCACUGCCAAGAGCAAUGUGGCCCGUGGGCCAUGUGGAAAAGACCAUCCCAGGAGCAGACGGAAGAGUGAGGGCAGCUGAGGUCUCUGUCAGGUGGAAAACCUACACCAGGCCAGUGGCUCAGCUGAUUGAGCUACCAGCCUUUCCUGACUCAUCUCCAGACGAUUAAGACUCCUGACUCAAUCCCUGAUGUACUGAUUCGCCUUCAUUUAGUUUGCUAAUUCCCACAGAGAAUUAGGGGGUGGCUGUAGUGAAGGCUCAUGUUAGUUUAUGCUUGAAAUAAUUUUAGUUAAUAGUUUCUAUGCGAGUCUUCUCUGCCCUUCAUGGUGAAAUGUUAUCACGUUUGUUUAUUUGUUUCUUAUGUUCUUUGAAUGUGAAAUACCUGAAUGUUCAUAUGUCCUACUUUUUGUAUUGUAAUUGAACACUUCCAGUGUAUCUUUUUUAUGUGUGUUCUGGGGCAAUGUGGAGAAGUUUUCUCGUCCUACAUGUACGGAUGUAACUCAGAGCACGGGAGCGGGUACUACUUUUUUCGUUUUGUUGGUCGCUGGUGUGGAAUCUAAUGAAGCUGGAGCUGCAGCUGUAUAGUGUGGACUUUCCAAGAAGAGAUCUUGUGGCGGCGUCAGCGCGCUUGGUGUGCGUAUGAGGAGGGAUGCUACCGGCUAAUUAGCAUUAGCUCGCAUCGUUGGCUGAUCGUCUACAAAUACCAAGGUGGUGAGUAACAAUCGGAGUUUGUUCGGACCUUGUCACUGCCAGUGGAUUAUCAUCAUUCGGGACAUCAGCACUUCGCCCCUCUGCUUCGUUUCGGCCCACUGACGGGCUGUCUGCAGUGCCGCAACUAUCGUCAUCGUAAUCGUCGUCAGCUUCCAGGACCUUCGUCGUCAGCUUCCAGGACCUUCGUCCAAGUAACGAGCUCCACCCGGCCGCAAAGGUAUCAUUUAAUUAGAAAGGGAAUUUGAUUUGUUUAGUUAGUUAGGAAUAAGACAUUGUGUUGUGGUAUUGCAUUGUGUGUUUGAUUGUGAUCAUUUUUUAUAUAAAUAUGUCUUCAUGAUUGCCAUCCUGUCUUCCUCCCCAAGUUAUUUAGUGGAGUGUCCUCUUUAAAUUUCAAGUACAUAGCGGUACGCCGGUGGCUAUACACAAGUAAUGUGGCGAGAUGAGUCAGAUUAACGGAAGCCAGACAACGCCACCUUGGGAGUUGCACCCAAGGAAAUAACUAAAAGUGAGGACACUCAGGUUCGAGGCUUAAGAAGCAGGAGACGUGGGUUCUGGCUAACAGAAAAUCUUUAUUAAAUAGUAAACUUCAAAAACACAUUCACUCUCUUUAAAAGAAGGGGAAGAGGGGGAGCCCAAACAGGAGCUGAGGCUUACCGGUGGGACACGGGUAGAAGAGGGAAUGAAGGCCUCGGAAGGAUCACCCCAGACACACGUGGACACUCUCACUCGCUGAAAAUAAAGUGAUAAUCUCUGCUGCUGCUGAUCCACUGAAGACCCUGAGAGCCUCUGUAGGAGGAAACAUCACUCUGCCCGACGCUGUGAAGGAGGAAGGAUUUCUGUUAUAUGAAGGAAAGAAUUUAGCUCAGGUGGACGA